AGAGUUUGAUCAUGGCUCAGGACGAACGCUGGCGGCGUGCUUAACACAUGCAAGUGGAGCGACGAACCGGGCUUCGGCCCGGGGCAGAGCCGCGAACGGGUGAGUAACACGUGGGUAACCUACCCCGAUGACCGGGACAACCCGAGGAAACUCGGGCUAAUACCGGAUGUUCUCGGUCUCCGUAAGGAGAUCGGGCAAAGAUAGCUUCGGCCUUCGCAUCGGGACGGGCCCGCGGCCCAUUAGCUUGUUGGUGGGGUAACGGCCUACCAAGGCGACGAUGGGUAGCUGUCUGAGAGGACGAUCAGCCACACUGGGACUGAGACACGGCCCAGACUCCUACGGGAGGCAGCAGUGGGGAAUCUUGCGCAAUGCGCGAAAGCGUGACGCAGCAACGCCGCGUGGGGGAAGACGGCCUUCGGGUUGUAAACCCCUUUCAGUUGGGACGAAGCUUCGCCGGUUAAUAGCCGGCUGGAGUGACGGUACCUUCAGAAGAAGCCCCGGCUAACUACGUGCCAGCAGCCGCGGUAAUACGUAGGGGGCUAGCGUUGUCCGGAAUCAUUGGGCGUAAAGCGCGUGUAGGCGGCCCGGUAAGUCCGCUGUGAAAGUCGGGGGCUCAACCCUCGGAUGCCGGUGGAUACUGUCGGGCUCGAGUACGGAAGAGGCGAGUGGAAUUCCUGGUGUAGCGGUGAAAUGCGCAGAUAUCAGGAGGAACACCAAUUGCGAAGGCAGCUCGCUGGGACGUCACUGACGCUGAGACGCGAAAGCGUGGGGAGCAAACAGGAUUAGAUACCCUAGUAGUCC
rnacentral:rRNA from 1 species